AGCGAACGCUGGCGGCAUGCCUAACACAUGCAAGUCGAACGAGACCUUCGGGUCUAGUGGCGCACGGGUGCGUAACGCGUGGGAACCUGCCCUUAGGUUCGGAAUAACUCCCCGAAAGGGGUGCUAAUACCGGAUAAUGUCUUCGGACCAAAGAUUUAUCGCCUUUGGAUGGGCCCGCGUUGGAUUAGCUAGUUGGUAGGGUAAAAGCCUACCAAGGCGACGAUCCAUAGCUGGUCUGAGAGGAUGAUCAGCCACACUGGGACUGAGACACGGCCCAGACUCCUACGGGAGGUAGCAGUGGGGAAUAUUGGACAAUGGGCGAAAGCCUGAUCCAGCAAUGCCGCGUGAGUGAUGAAGGCCUUAGGGUUGUAAAGCUCUUUUACCCGGGAUGAUAAUGACAGUACCGGGAGAAUAAGCUCCGGCUAACUCCGUG
rnacentral:rRNA from 1 species